rnacentral:rRNA from 1 species
GCUUGUCUCAAAGAUUAAGCCAUGCAUGUUCAAGUAUAGCAAGUGUACAGUGAAACUGCGAAUGGCUCAUUAAAUCAGUUAUAAUUUAUUUGAUAGUGAAAUUGUACAUGGAUAACCGUGGCAAUUCUAGAGCUAAUACAUGCAUCAACCCCCGACUUUUGAAGGGGUGUAUUUAUUAGAUUGAAACCAAUGCGGGUUCGCCCGGUAUUUGGUGAUUCAUAAUAACUUUCGGAUCGACUUCGGUCGAUGCAUCAUUCAAGUUUCUGCCCUAUCAGCUUUGGAUGGUAGGGUAUUGGCCUACCAUGGCUUUAACGGGUAACGGAGAAUUAGGGUUCGAUUCCGGAGAGGGAGCCUGAGAAAUGGCUACCACAUCCAAGGAAGGCAGCAGG